AUUGAACGCUGGCGGCAGGCCUAACACAUGCAAGUCGAGCGGAUGAAGGGAGCUUGCUCCUGGAUUCAGCGGCGGACGGGUGAGUAAUGCCUAGGAAUCUGCCUGGUAGUGGGGGAUAACGUCCGGAAACGGGCGCUAAUACCGCAUACGUCCUGAGGGAGAAAGUGGGGGAUCUUCGGACCUCACGCUAUCAGAUGAGCCUAGGUCGGAUUAGCUAGUUGGUGGGGUAAAGGCCUACCAAGGCGACGAUCCGUAACUGGUCUGAGAGGAUGAUCAGUCACACUGGAACUGAGACACGGUCCAGACUUCUACGGGAGGCAGCAGUGGGGAAUAUUGGACAAUGGGCGAAAGCCUGAUCCAGCCAUGCCGCGUGUGUGAAGAAGGUCUUCGGAUUGUAAAGCACUUUAAGCUGGGAGGAAGGGCAGUAAGUUAAUACCUUGCUGUUUUGACGUUACCAACAGAAUAAGCACCGGCUAACUUCGUG
rnacentral:rRNA from 1 species